rnacentral:rRNA from 1 species
CCCUUAGAUGUUCUGGGCCGCACGCGCGCUACACUGAUACGUUCAGCGAGUAUAUAACCUUGAUUGGAAAAUCUGGGUAAUCUUUUGAAUGCGUAUCGUGCUAGGGAUAGAUUAUUGCAAUUAUUAACCUUGAACGAGGAAUUCCUAGUAAACGCAAGUCAUCAGCUUGCAUUGAUUACGUCCCUGCCCUUUGUACACACCGCCUGUCGCACAAACCGAUUGAAUGAUUCGGUGAAAAUUUUGGACAUCGAGAGUGGUGAUUAAUUUCGCUGCUCUUAAAUGGAAAGAAUUUAAACCUAAUGAUUUAGAGGAUUGUGAAGUCAUAACA